CCACCUGCUGGGUCACUCCCCACAAUGGCCGAAGCUGCGCCGAUCUGGAGCCAAGAGCUUCCUCCAGGUCUCCCACGUGGGUGCAGGGGCUCAAAGGCUUGGGGCAUCUUCUGCUGCUUUCCCAGGCCACAGCAGAGAGCUGGAUCUGAAGUGGAGCAGCCGGAACUCGAACCGUUGCGUAUAUGGGAUGCUAGCACUGCAGGCAGUGGCUUCUUUACCCUCUAUGCCACAGUGCAGGCCCCUGGCCAUGUUGUUUUGUACGUUUAUGACCUCUGUCGAGUGGCUAACACACAUACAUAAUUAAGACAGUGCUGUAAAUGUGGUUUGAACUAUUUUGUUUCAGCCCCCCACCCCCCUUCUUCUAUUAGUUUUUUUUUUUUUUUUUGAUGCAUUUCUCUUUAGGAUACUUAACAUGUAACAAACAUACAUUAAACCUAACACAGGAGCCUUGAUUUAAACAAAUUCUUGUUUUAGGAAAUUUAUUGUUCUUUCUAGACUAUAUAUAUAUAUAUAUAUGGUUUAUUUGUUUGAAAGGCAGAGUUCCAGAAAGAGAGGGAAAGGAGGGGAGAGAGAGAAGAAAGAGAGAAAGAGAGGUCAGUCUUUCAUCUACUGGUUCAUUCUUCAAAUGGCUGCAACGGCCGAGGCUGGGCCAGGCUGAAGCCAAGAGCUUCAUCAGAGUCUGUCAUGUGUAACAGGGAUCAAACAUUUGGGCCAUCUUCCACUGCUUUUCCCAGGCUAUUAUCAGGAAGCUGGAUAGGAAGUAGGGCAGGGAGGAUACAAACCAGCAUGCAAGCGAGACUUUACCCACUUUGCCACAAUGCUGGCCCCUCUAGACAUUUUUUUUUAAAGAUUUUAUUUAUUUAUUUGAGAGAGGGAGAGACAGAAUGAUCUUCCAUCCACUGGUUCACUCCCCAAAUGGCUGCAACGGCUGGAGCUGGGCUGAUGGAAGCCAGGAGCCAGGACUUUGUCCCAGGUCUCCCAAGUGGGUGCAGGAGCCCAGUCACUUGGGCCAUCUUACACUGCUUUCCCAGGAGCAUUAGCAGGGAGCUGGAUCAGAAGAGGAGCAGCCAGGACUGAAACCGGCACCCAUAUGGAGUGCUGACGCUGAAUUUGGAGGCUUAGUCCACUAUGCCUCAAUGCUGGCCCCUAGACAUCCUUAAUCUGAGGUUCAUAGGCCUGUGGUUGGGCUCUUUGAGUUUGGGAGGGUUUGUGAACUUUUUUUUUCCUAAGAUAUAUUUACUUAUUUGAAAGACUUAGAGUUACAGAGAGAGGGAGGCAGAGAAAGAGAAAUCUUCCAUCUGCUGGUUCACUGCCCAAAUGGCUACAGUGGUCAAGCCUGGACCAGACUGAAGCCAGGAGCAGGAAGCUUCAUCUGGGUCUCGCACGUGGGUGUAGGGGCCCAAGGACUUGGGCCAUCUUCUGUUUCUUUCCCAGGUGCAUUAGCAAGGAGCUGGAUUGGAUGUGGAGCAGCUGGAACUUGAACCAGCAGCCAUAUAGGAUGCUGGUGUUGCAAGGGGUGGUUUAACCUGCUGGGCCACAGCACCGGCCCCUGUGAGCUUUUUGAAAUUUCUUGCAAAGUUUUACAUGUAUGUGCAUUUUUCUGGAAAGAGGAUCAAUGAUAUCUGACCACAUUCUGAAGGUGCUGAAAAUAAUCUAAAGGUUAAGACUAGGCAUGCAGCUCUGACAAGGCUCUGCCGUGGGUCGUUUAGAACCAGUUGCUGGGUGAGGAGGUAAAACAAUAGUGAGGAUUUACUUUGUGCCCAGGCACUUUGCCAUUCUUUUCACACAGUUUAACCUACUUACUUUUCACAACUGUUUGUGAUGCUGAUUUCCUUUGCAGACAAGAAAACUUUAAGUUCGUAUUUGCACUAAAAUCUUGCUGUGAGUGAGUGAGUGGCCUGCCUUUUAAAUCUGGAGAACUCACCCCAGCCUGGUUAUCCUGGUGCCGUCACGACCGAUCUCAUUCUGCGGGUUCAUCCUUGCAGGGACCUCAUGUUUUGCUCUCACUCUACAGGAGUGGUCAGCCAGCCUGCAGUUUGUUCAUGUGGUAGAGUAGAUGGCUUUUGCAAUUGACACACACACAGGCUGGCUUUUUUCAGGGUCUGAAUCAGUGGGCAGCAGUGUGAGUAGAAGGACCUGAGAACCCUUUUAAGUAUCAGUAAAUUUUGUUUUCCUGUUAACAGUGGUGGUGAACCAUUACUGUUCCCUUUCCAUCUGUCUUAACAGCAUCUGUAUGGAUCUGAAAAGCAAAUCGCUGCUUUGCAUUGUGUGGGUGUGACUGUGUAUGUAUGUGUAUGCACGUCAAGUAAAACUUUUCAUUUAAGAAUUUGGGCUUUGUACUUCCCUUGGGAAGAUCCACUUCACCAGUCUGGACACACCUGCUAAGUUACACAAGAUAGAAAGGUGUUUGCACAGCAGCAGAGACUGACUGUACAAGUUCCCUGCCUGCUGAGGGACUUGUUUUGGCCGGAAGCCAUACCUCCUAUGACUUAGUUUGGAGUCUUUGUACUGCUCCAUGAAGCCUUCCUUGAGCUCUGAGAGAUUUUCUUGAUGCUGUCUGUGUUAUACUGUAUACCAUUUACUCCUUUAUGGACAAAGGGUGCUUUGAGUAAUACCUAGUUUAAACUUCUGUGGCCAUUUGUCAACGCAGUGUUAAAACUAUAUUUUUUGGUAGCAUAAGUCAUUUAUUAGGUAUUUCCAACACAAUUAUUUUUCAUACUUGAGACUCGGGUACCAUUUAAUAAUUAAAAUUAAAAUGUUAUUUGGAAGUGCCACUGUUUGUAUUUCUUACCUACUUGUUCAGAACUCCAGCCUGGUUGUUUGGUUAGCUUUGCAGGAGUUCCUGAGGCGCCCAGCCUUUUCAUUUUAACUGUGCCUUCCCUGAUUGACAUUAGUAUACCGAACAUAUCCAUAGAGAGACAUCAUCAGAGAUACCACUUUUUGUAUUUUGAUUGUGGUGAAAUGUGUUAAAAUAACCAAAUUUUCAGAAGAACUGCUAAUAUUGAGAUUAAUCCUGCUAACCUGAAUGAAAGCUGGUCAAUAGCUAUUGAAUUUUAAUGGUAAAAAAUUAUAAAGAUUCUUAAAGCUCUCAACUGACUUACAGUGCAAAGGGCAACCCAUAAGAGCAUUAGAGAACAGGUGCUCUUCUCACAGAGUGAUUCGCUGUGCUGGGAGCAGUUGUCUUCAUACCUUGCCUUCCCACAAAGGCAAAGUGUCAGCUGCUUUGUUCUUUUUGUUUUUUUCUUUCUUUCUUUUUUUUUUUUUUUAAAAUUUUCGGGGUCCAAAGCCUUGGGCCAUUCUCUACUACUUGGGCCAUCCUCUACUGCCUUCCCAGGCCAUAGCAGAAAGCUGGAUCAGAAAUGGAGCAACCGGGACGAGCACCUGUGUGCCAGCACCACAGGUGGCGGCUUUACCCGCUGUGCCACAGCGACCACAGCACUGGCUCCAGCUGCUUUGUUCUUAAGGCUGUCUUUCCAUCAUAUUCAUCUCCCUUUUUUCCAAAAGAGAGCAUUAAUUAAGGCACAUUUUCUGAACACAGCUUUCUAUUAUUGUGUGCUUUUAUGACUGCCUUUAUGAUAUCAGCAAGAUUUUUGUUACCGUGAGUGCAUGUUCAGUUCAAUGAUCCUUUGCCUGUUUUUUGAGCUUUCUCUUCUUUCAGGGUUGGUGUCUUGUCCUUUAUUACUUAAGAGGCAUUGUUAGGCAUUUUAGCCCUGCCACUGUGAAAUCUGUCAUACUGUUUGAGUGAAAGAAACAACAACAUGGAGUUUCUGUCCUUCACAAGUUCUCUGGGACAUUCAACCCAUGGCAGUAGGCUGGUAGCUUUGUGCAGUCCCUUGCUGUAGGAUGCCAUGGUGACAGUAUCUCUUAUCAGCAUCAGUGACUUCAGUGCAGGCAGACAUGACGCUCCUUCCCCGAGUCAGGCCUUCUUCAUAGUCUGUAGACAGUGUCAUGCACUGUGCCUUUCUCUCUCUUUUUUUUUUUUAAAUAUUUAUUUAUUUAUUUCAAAGUCAGAGUUACACAGAGAGAGGAGAGGCAGAGAGAGAGAGAGAGAGAGAGAGGUCAUCCAUCCACUGGUUCACUCCCCAGAUGGCUGCAACGGCUGGAGCUGAGCCUAUCUGAAGCCAGGAGCCAGGGGCUUCCUCCAGGUCUCCCACGUGGGUGCAGGGGCCCAAGGACUUGGGCCAUCUUCCACUGCUUUCCCAGGCCAUAGCAGAGAGCUGGAUUGGAAGCGGCGGGUCUUGAACCGGCGCCCAUAUGGGAUGCCAGCGCUUCAGGCCAGAGCGUUGACCCGCUGAGCCACAGUGCUGGCCCCAUGCACUGUGCCUUUUUCAACGAGUGUAUAUUCCUCCUUCCCCUAAAAUGUAUUCUCUAAAUGGAAAUCUGAGACUGGAAGACCUGAGAUUUUCAAUCUGUAAGUAGUUUUUGUGUCCUUUUAAAGGAACUAGCAGCCUGUUUUCACGAAACAGCCUGUCCAAAAAGGGACAGAAGUUUGUCUGUUUCCAUCAUUUUAGCAGAUUGAGUUACCCACCCCCUACCAGCCCCAUCCUUACCUUUUCUCUCUGAGCCCUGUUGAAAUUCCUAGGAUGGGGGCCGGCGCCGGGGCUCAACAGGUUAAUCCUCCGCCUAGUGGUGCCGGCACAGCGGGUUCUAGUCCCGUAGUCCCAGUCAGGGCGCCGGAUUCUGUCCCAGUUGCCCCUCUUCCAUGCCAGUUCUACUAUGGCCUGGGAGUGCAGUGGAGUAUGGCCCAAGUACUUGGGCCCUGCACCCCAUGGGAGACCAGGAUAAGCACCUGGCUCCUGCCUUUGGAUCAGCGUGGUGCGCCAGCCACGGCGGCCAUUGGAGGGUGAACCAACGGCAAAGGAAGACCUUUCUCUCUGUGUCUCUCUCUCUCUCACUGUCCACUCUGUUAAAAAAAAAAAAAAAAAAGAAAUUCCUAGGAUAGUAGAAGAAAGAAAUAUUUGUCAACUUGAUUAAAAGUUGAUGGUAAAAGCAGUCAAAAUGUUUGUGAACAGAAGAGAUCGAAAUGGCUUAAAUGUCUUUCUGGAAUAUCCCAAAUAUUUAUCUCUUGAUAAUUUUUAUACAAGUUAAGUGUGUUAAUACUCAUCCUACCUGGUGGUAAAUAUCAGUUAUAGUUUCCUCUGUUUCAAUUAAUUUUCUGGAAUGUAGGUUAGAUUUUUUUAAAGAUUUAUUUAUUUAUUUGAAAGGCAGAGGCAGAGAGAGACAGAGACAGAGAGAGAGAGAGAGAGAGAGAGGUCUUCCAUCCACUGGUUCACUCUCCAGAUGGCCACAAUGGCUGAGCUACACUGAUCCUAAGCCAGGAGUCAGGAGCUUCUUUUGGGUCUCCCACUAGGGUGCAGGGCCCUAGCACUUGGGCCAUCUUCUGCUGCUUUCCCAGGCCACAGCAGAAAGCUGGAUCAGAAGAGGAGCAGCCGGACUCUAACCUGCGCCCAUAUGGGAUGCUGAUGCCGCAGGCUGAGGCUUAGCCCACUAUGCCACAGCGUGAGCCCCACUUUUUUGUUUGUUUGUUUUAAGAUUUAUUUAUUUAUUUAUUUGAAAGUCAAGUUACAGAUAGAGAGGGAUAGAGAGAGAGAGAGAGAGAGAGAGAGAGAGAAAGAUCGAUCUUCCAUCUGCUGCUUGACUCCCCAGGUGGCCACAACAUCCAGGGCUGGACCAAGCUGAAGCCAGGAGCCAGGAGCUUCAUCUGGGUUUCCUAAAUGGGUGGCAGAAGCCCAAGCACUUGGGCCAUCUGCUGCUGUUUUCCCCAAGCCAUUAGCAGGGAGCUGGAUCAGAAGCAGAGCAGCUGGGACAUGAACCAGUGCUCAUAUAGAAUUCUGGUGCCACGGACAAUGGCUUUACCUGCUAUGCCACAACACCGGCCCCACUUUACAUUUCUGAUUUCAACUGUACUACAUUUCACUAAGCUGGGAAAUGUAGAGUACUGGCUUUGUGUAUAAAAUGUAAGAGUUGGUAUUUGAUGCUUAAAAAAAUAUUUCCUGCUGCCAGUAAUAUAAGAUCAACCUACUUUAUCACUUUCUUUUAGUGAUAUAUUUAAAUUAGAUGGGAAGGAAUUUAUUUCCCUGUUUUUUUAAAGGGCAGUAGAUUUUACUUGCUGAAAUUAUUUAGAGACAGACGAUGUGAAAAAGAAAAUGUGUGGCAAACAUGUGAUAGGAUUCCUGGGACAGUUCCACCCUGAUUCAUGAAGACUGCAAACACUCUCUGUUGUGUGUGGUGGAGGGAGGGCAGGCACUCUUCUUGAUCUUUAAGGGGCAAGUGUUAGCCUGGUAAGUUACGAUGCCCAGGUCCCAAUUUAGAAUACUUGGAUUUGAUUCCCGGCUUUGGCUUCUGACCGUACCUUCCUGGGAGGAAGUGGUGAUAGUUCAGUAAUUGGGUUCCUGCCACUGACAUGGGAGACCCUCACUGAGUUGCUGAUUCCAGACUUUGGCACCAGCUCUGAGCUGUUACUGGCAUGUUACUACCACCCGCCAGUCCGCAGUAAAUGAAUGAAAAAUUAAUGUUGGAAAAAACCUUCAAUUCCAAGUUUCACAGAUUUUCUGGAGCCAUUAGAACUCCAGGUAUUAGAACUCUACAAUUUAGCAUAUAAUUGAGUUGUUUUAUGUAGUAACACAAGAGUUAAGAAAUUGUUGUGUGGACCUCAGAAUGCUUUCUCCAUAAUCAUAAAUAGGCAUUCUGUCAAGUGUAUAAGUGUUUUUUUUUUUUUAAGAUUUAUUUUAUUUAUUUGAAAGAGUUACACAGAGAGAGAAGGAGAAGCAGAGAGAGAGAGAGAGAGAGGCCCUCCAUCCAUUGGUUCACUCCCCAGAUGGCUGCAACGGCCGGAGCUGAGCCGAUCUGAAGCCAGGAGCCAGGAGCUUCCUCUGGGCCCCCCACAUGGGUGCAGGGGCCCAAGGACCUGGGCCAUCUUCUGCCGCUCUCCCAGGCCACAGCAGAUUGGAAGAGGAGCAGCCAGAACAAGAACCGACGCCCAUAUGAGAUGCCGGCGUUCCAGGCCAGGGCUUUAACCAACACUGUGCCACAGCGCCCGCCCCUUGUAUAAGUGUUAAUCUGAAUUUGUUAUAUAGAGAAAAACAGAGACACUGGCAUCUGUGUUCCCGUCAGGCCUGUAUCUGGACUUCUGGGGCCUGAGCCAGCCCCUUCCCUACAGAACAAGAUUGAAAGCCAUCUCACUCCUCCAUGCAGAUGCGGUGAGUUGCCCCUCUCCCCCGAGGCCUGGCUCUGUUCUCUUCCAUGUCCUAUCCUUUUCUGUUUACCCUUUUACUUCUGCCUUUUUUUUUUUUUUGGACAGGCAGAGUGGACAGUGAGAGAGAGAGAGACAGAGAGAAAGGUCUUCCUUUGCCGUUGGUUCACCCUCCAAUGGCCGCCGCGGCCGGCGCGCUGCGGCCGGCGCACCGCGCUGAUCCGGUGGCAGGAGCCAGGAGCCAGGUGCUUUUUUCCUGGUCUCCCAUGGGGUGCAGGGCCCAAGCACCUGGGCCAUCCUCCACUGCACUCCCUGGCCACAGCAGAGAGCUGGCCUGGAAGAGGGGUAACCAGGACAGAAUCCGGCGCCCCAACCGGGACUAGAACCCGGUGUGCCGGCGCCGCUAGGCAGAGGAUUAGCCUAGUGAGCCGCGGCGCCGGCCAACUUCUGCCUCUUAAAACAAACAUCUUGGCCUGUUUUCCAUUCCGACUUUGGUCUGGUCUGGUCUGGUCUGGUCUUGUCUUCCUUCCUUCCUUCCUUUGUCUUUGUCUUUGUCUGUGGGGAGCAAUUGGGAGCAACUCGGACUAGACUAAGUUACUGGAAUUAAGACUUAUUCUAUGCAUCUGCUCUCCCACAAUAUGGCGCUGGGAGAGGAGAAAACAGCUUCUACGCAGCUGCCUCUUGCCAACUUGAGUGAUGACCUCCAGGAGCUGAUCCUGCUCCUGAUUGGAGGAGAGCAGCGUACUCGGCGUGUGGGCAGCCGAGUUGGGAUUGGUGGAAGAGGACUAUAAAGGAGGAGAGAGACAACAUGCACCAGGAACAUCUAAGGGGAACAUCUAUCUGAAGGAACACCUGUGCAGCCCCCGAGAGAGCCGGCCGGCGGUGUGCUGCUCCCCCGCGGAAGUGGGGAAAAGUGGCAGGGGGAACCGCCCUUCCACGGAGGUGGAAGGGUCGGUAGCCAACCCGGGAAGAACCAGCAGCAAACCCGGGGAGGGCCGAGCAGAUGAAAGAACAGCGCAGGGUCCUGUGUCGUUCCUCCACGAAGACGGGGAGCGACAUUUGUCUUUGUCUUUGUCUUUGUCUUUUUUUUGACAGGCAGAGUUAGACAGUGUGAGAGAGACAGAGAGAAAGGUCUUCCUUCCGUUGCUUCACCCCCCAAGUGGCUGCUGUGGCUGGUGCUGCACCGAUCCAAAGCCAGGAGCCAGGUGCUUCCUCCUGGUCUCCCAUGUGGGUGCAGGGCCCAAGGACCUGGGCCAUCCUCCACUGCACUCCCGGGCCACAGCAGAGAGCUGGACUGGAAGAGGAGCAACUGGGACUAGAACCCGGGGUGCCGGCGCCGCAGGUGGAAGCCUAGUGAGCUGCAGCGCCGGCCUCUGACUUCUUCUUUAAAAUAAUUUCAAAUAGGAAAGAUGAAGGAGUUGUACAAGUAACUGCUUGUAUACCCUUCCGCCAGAUCAUGGAAGUAGUUUUAAAAAGCCCCAGGCUAUCCCUGUUGAAAUGAUGGUAUUGAGUUGAAUCAUGUUGGUGCCAUGUCCUAGUGGUAUAGUUGGGUAACGUAGUCUGUCCAAGGCUCAGUCUCCUCUUGUGAAACCCGAGUACUGACUUCGGUACUUGCGGGUCAGGCCCACAGUCAGGCCCGCAGCUCCAUCAUUCUUCCACUGCUUGCUGCCCAGAGGACGCUGGUGGCCGCUGGCUGCAGCAGUCCCGGGUCUGCCCUGAAUCCCAGCAACUGUCGGAAGAGCACACUGGGCUUUCCUUUGUGGGGUGGAGAACUUCUGGUUUGAUUCCAGGAUUUCUCAAACCUGAGUACAUUAUGGACUUAAAUGUUUUUGUGGGUCUUCCAUGUUACUUAAUUUCUACCUUCUUCACCAUACAAAAUAGGAAUAAUCUGUGUGCAUAUAUCCCUAAUACAGCUGUAAAUGACAAUUUAUAUAUUAAUUUCAAGCCACAUUAUGAAAGCCAAUAAAUUUUAAGUAUCAACAUUAGUGGGAUGUUUUUCUUGUGCUAUUACUUUAUUAUUACUAGCUGAGGGCCCAGACUCCUGGGAAUUGGGAACCACAUGGCUGUGUGGACUCCUGGGUUCCCUGUGGGGAUAACAGUUCUCCUGUCGUUUUCCUCUGUCAGUGAAGUGUGGAUUGGCCUGAAGUCUGUGCCCUGACCUGGCACAGGUAUGCUGUUGGCAUGUAUGGUUUCUCUUAUUUACUUACUGGCAGUGCUGUUUAUUUGUCUGUAUAUAAGCUUCUAAGAGUCAAAAUCUUGUAGCUUGACUCUGUAAAGGAGGUUGUGAAAUACAUAAUCCAAAAAAUGAGUGUGUAGGUGCAUACUGAGGUGAAGUAAGAACGAGCUCUUUCCAGUCUCUCGCGUCUCCCACUGUGAGCCAGUGUCCCUCACACCCUCCCUCGGCUGCUUCAUGCUUAGAGAGAUCUGCCUCAUAGGAAGAAAAAUAUUAAAAUUUCUGGUUCAUUAAGUCUGCAAAUUUGAAAAGUUUUUAGGUUUUUUGAAUUGGUUUAAUGCUCUUGGCAAGACAGAGGCAAGGACUAUGUUUUUAUUCAUCUUUUGGCUUACAAUGCUCAGAAUAGUUGCUGGCUCUGAGAGGUUAAACCAUUGCAUUGAUACUUUGUUUCAUUUACAAGAUAGAAAAAAGCACAUGGAUUUUUUUAAAAAAUCAAGUGUAAAGGGAUUUUGAAAUAACGUUAAAAGGGGUUGCUCAGGACCAGCAGCUGAAAGUGUGGCACGUAAUACAGUCGGAGAAGGCUGGCCGAUGCUGGUGUCCUUCCCCCUUCCUGAACAGGAGAGGGUGUGAGAGCAGAAGGGUGUUCCCAGGUGUUGUUCUAGAGAGUAGACAGCAGUAUAGGCUGUGAUUCAGUUUCUUUUCCUGAACUGGUGGAGUUCUGAUGAUCUUGUGUAACUCGUAAAACGUAGGCGUGUGGAUUUGCCAGCUAACAAAGCAUGAGAGCGUUGCAUUAUGUCUUGCUUUUUAGUCAUUUAUGUAUUUUAUGUAUAACCCAUAAUGCUGGUUUUUGGCCUUUUGAGUCUUUAAUAGAAAAAAGCUUACUUUGCUUUUGUAAUGGGCAAGUGGUUUUCACACCAAGACCCAUGUGUCCCUGCUGUGUGGCUGUUGUCCGGGUGUGCAGCCCCUAGUCAGUGACGUUCCUUCUUGAUUCCUGAUUUGAGUGGGGUGUGCUGUGUACUGCCCCAGGGCCUUGGAGCAAUUUAGAGUUUGGAUGGAAAGGCAGGAAGACCAGGGAGCCAUGGAAUGCCUUUGGUGCCCUCUAACAGGAGGUGUGUGUGUGAGCUGGCCGUGGACACGAUGGCUUUGGAGUCGUAAUGGACCUUUAUCUGAGGAUUAUUGGGAGGAUGAUUGGAAGUAGCAUCUCAAGGGAGCUGAGGCAGAAAUGGCUGUUGUACAGCGGUUGUACAGCCCAUUGAGGGGAGUAGGACUGAUGUCUGCAACAACAGAGUGAAGGUUAAAUGACAGAGUUUUAGGGUAGUGUAACUGGAGUGUGGAAUAUUUUUACUUAAACUAGCAGUUGUUGGCUUGUUUUCAGUCUUCAUUUCUUAAAUUUUUUUUUAGUAUUUAGGGAUUUGGGAAUGCUCUUGAAUUAGUAUUAUCACUACAUUUAACAUUCGGCUGAUUUCCCCUGAAAUUUGGAGUUGUUUCUGACCUUUCCAACCUCCCAGUGGUUGAUACCUAGACUGCUGCUUCCUGGUUUUCCUUUUGUUAUUAAUGUGUCAGAUUUAUUAAAAAAUAACCACAGAUGUCCAGAGAUUGGCCCAGUUACUGUUAUGAUUAUCAAUUUGCUCUUAAGAGAUUGAGCAGAUUUGUUAACAAACAAGCCUGGAAUACAGAAAGAUGCCUGAUGCAUUCUUAGGAUUAUUUAAAAGAAAAACAGCUGGCAAAUGAUAAUUGACAGAUAGAUGUAUUUAACCUAAAGAAGUUGAAAUGCUGUGAUGGUUACUGUGGUUAAAUAGAGAAGACACAUCCGUGAGACCAGGAGCUUUCUAGAAAUGGCUGAGGGGUGACAGUUUAAGGAUUGGGUGGCGGGAAAGGGCUGUGAUUAAAUUCCCUGAUGCUGUCAGCGAGUGUAAGGCUGGAGAUAACACCCUCUCCUGCGAGCUCCGGGAUCAAUACUCAGCCUUGAUGGGCUAAAUUAUUAAAAAGAGCCCUUCUCACUGUGUUUCAUUAUCUGGGAUUUGCCUCUGCUAGCGAUUUGUCAGUGGCAUAGGGAGAUUUGUGAAGCAUUUGUAUUAAAAUUAGUAGGCUAGUGAAUCCCUUUGGAUAAUUCCUCUCCAUUUUACAAUACUCCAGAAUAGAUCUGUGGUUUGCUUUUACUUAAGUGGCUUUGCAUGUUUUUCGAGGUACUGGUGGUGCACAUAGACACUUUUUUUUCUUUGUGUUCUGUCUUUUGAACCUCUGGGCAGCUGGUCUGUACCUUACAGUGACUGUCUUAGCAACAUCAGAUGCGUUUGGCAUUCUACAGUAUAUCCUUGCACAUGGAUUAACAUACACUGAACCUUGUAUUCUUUACUUAUGAAGGAAAUUAUACAGGAAAUUGGGCUUGUUUUUGUUUCUCAGCUUUUGAUAGUGGGCAGAGAUGGGAGUAUUAGUUGGGUAGGUGGUGGUAGGGUUUUGGCCAACUGAUUGAAAAGGAAAGCAGCCCAUUUUGUGAGCCUGCGAGAGGGAAAAAUGAGGUGACCAGUGCUGUCGUCAUGAGAGCUCGGGGAGGACGAGGAGGGAGAGCUGUGGCAGGAAGCCCUUCCCCCAUCCUCCAGGCUGGGGGAGCUCUGCCGGCAGUCCUGCUGUGUGGACUCAGACUGGACAUCCCGAUUGCUGGUGAAGUCCAGAACCUGCUCCCCUUCCAUGUCUCCCGUGCCAGAUUGGUGGUGUGAUACAUUUAUGAUCUUGUGGUGGAGCUGAUGGCUUUUUUUGAUUCAGCCUCAGGAAGAACGUAGUCAGCUAGACAGAGCCCUGCUGGGUUUUGAGCUCUGUCUCAAACCGUGAGACUAAACAGUCACAACGCGUUCUGCUUCCCUGGAAAAGGGGUCAGAUCUGAAACUCUUUCCUGUCAUGUAGAGGGAGGGGACACUGAUGAAGAGAGGGCUGGCAGAGAACUUUGGAAUCUGUGUGGUUGACUUCUGAUCACAAACCUGGAGGUGCUUGGCUGUGAAAUGUCCAGCCCUGGAGGGACACCGCGACCCUGCCGUGGGUGCUGUGCUCGCCCACGAGAAGUGGGCGUCAAGCAAGAGCUCCAGGAGGAAUGGGUGGAGGGAGCCGUAUGGCCUCUGGGUGUGGCAGAUGGCCUUGCUCCUGGGUAUUGAGAAGGCCGGACAGUUGGCACUGCCCCAGGCCCCGCUGGUCCCCUGACGUGGGUCGCCCAGGCUUCCUACAGAUAAUCCACUGCUUUAGCUUCUUCACCUUCGACCCAGCCUGGUGUGCUGCUUUCUGUUUCCUUGUUCCUGGCAUUUAUGUCUGGAUUCUGCUGCCAGCUUCAUGGCUGCUGCAUGCCUGUCCAGGCCAUUUUGGUUGAGUGAGUAGGUGAGGACACAGUUGGUGUGGAGCCUGGGGAUGGAAGAGAGGUGGUGCUGCAGCAGGUGGGGUUGCUGUACACUUCUAACCCAGUGAGGAAGUCUUGGGCACACACUCGGGUCCCGUCACAGUCAUCCUGGGAAUCCAUAAAAGGGUUUUCAAAUUUGUUUUAGUUUUUCUAAGUUUUAUUUAUUUUGAAAGGUAGAGUUACGGUGGUGGGAGGCAGGGCUUGGGGGGAUCAGUCUUCCAUCUACUGAUCCUCAAAUGCCCACAAUAGCCAGGACUGGGCCAGGCAGAAACCAGGAGCCCAGAAGUCCACCCAUGGGUACGGACCAUGCUGCCUCCCGGGCACAUUAGCAGAAGGCUGAAUCUGAAGCCAAGCCAGGACUCAACCGCAGGCACUCUGGUGGGGGAUGGGCAUCCCCAAGCAAUGGCCUAGCUUGCUGCAGCUCAGCACCUGCUCCUCUUUGUUUAUAGGCGACCUUGAGGGAGUUGGAAUUCUGAGUCUUUUGUUCUGUCCGAGGAUAGAGACAUGGCCUUAUAUACUCUGAGGAGAAAGGCAGAAGGGCUGAGGCUUAGACAACUGUUAGUGUUGCUUCACGCUGGGAAGACAUGACGCCUUCCUGCUAUGGUUCCCUCACAGUAAAUGUUGGGAGCAGAGGAGUGGCUUCUUCUGCCACUAAAAGGGACUGAAAAACCCUCGACAGAGUUAAUUACAGAGUCCUGGUAAGUGUUGAUUUAAAAGUUGAGAUUCUGGGGCAGGUGUGUGAUCUAGCAGGUUAAGCCGUGCCAGCAUCCCAUAUGGGCACCAGUUUGAGUCCCGACUGCUCCACUUCUGAUCCAGUUCCCUGCUAAUGUGCCUGGGAAAGCAACUGAAGAUGGCCAAGUGUUUGAGCCCCUGAAUUCACUUGCGAGACCGAGAUUAAGCUCCUGGCUCCUGACUUUGGCCUGGCCCAGCCCUGGCUGUUGCAGUCAUCUAGGGAGUGAAUCAGCAGAUGAAAAACUUCUCUCUCUCUCUGCCUCUGCCUCUCCCUCUCUGCAACUCUGCCUUUCGAACAAAUAAAUAAAUCUUCAAAAAAAUAAAAAGCUGAAAUUCGCUUGCUUUACAGCCUUGAUUGUUGUCCUGACCGAGCCAAGUCUGCUGCUGAUGCGCUUGCGUGUGGAAUAGCUCCGAGUCUGCCUGAGCGGGGCUCUGCUGCAGGCCCCAUGCCCUCCUGUGACAGGGCGCUGAGCUGCGGGGCACCUCUGAUCCCCCUGCCCAGGUCCUUCAGUCAUAGAACUUCAGCGCGCCUGCUGCUCAUCUCACCUGGUUUUCCAAUCCUAUAUGUUUCACUCUUCCCAUCAACUCACUGUUGGGUAAAUCAUUUUAGAGACCUGAUAUAGGGGCCGGCACUGUGGUGUAGCAGGUUAACACCCUGGCCUGAAACGCCGGCAUCCCAUAUGGGCACUGGUUCUAGUCCCGGCUGCUCCACUUCCCAUCCAGCUCUCUGCUAUGGCCUGGAAAAGCAGUAGAAGAUGGCCCAAGCCCUUGGGCCCCUACACCCGCAUGGGAGACCUGGAAGAAGCUCCUGGCUCCUGGCUUCGGAUCGGCACGGUUUUGGCUGUUGCGGCCAAUUGGGAAGUGAACCAUCGGAUGAAAGACCUCUCUCUCUCUGCCUCUCCUUCUCUCUGUAACUCUGACUUUCAAAUAAAUAAAUCUUUUUUAAAAGAGAGAGAGACCUGAUAUAACAAGAGACAACACGAAUUUCCUUGAGAAUUGAAAUUUCUGCCUAAGAAUUUGAGUAUCAGUACAAAUUAAAUGGUUGAACACUUGCCGUGUUGACUGCAUAUGGAAGCAGUGAGAGGUAAACACCAGCCAGCUUUCCACUGGCUGGCAGGUGCCACGGGUAGCUGUGAGGUUUGCUUAUGCCUGGGCCCCUAGAUUAUUUUCAGACUGCUUGCAGGUUGUGGCAGGGGUGGUACUUGAGCACCCACACAUGUUCUGUAUCAACUUUGUUUCUAAAGAUUGUCACUUAGCAUCAUGAACACAUUGGUCUCCUCUAUCCCCUCCCCUCCCCUCCCCUGCCCUGCCCUGCCCUCCCCUGCCCUCUCUUUUUUAAAAGAUUAAUUUUAUUUAUUUGAAAGGCAGAGUUACAGAGAAAGAGGGGCCAGCACUGCAGUGCCGGCAUCCCAUAUGGGUGCUGGUUUGAGUCCCGGCUGCUCCACUUCCAAUCCAGCUCUCCAUUAUGGCCUGGGAAAGCAGUAGAAGAUGGCCCAAAUCCUUGGGCCCCUGCACCUGCGUGGGAGACCUGGAGGAAGCUCCUGGCUUCAGAUCGGUGCAGCUCUGGCCAUUGCAGCCAAUUGGGGAGUGAACCAGCAGAUGGAAGACCUGUCUCUCUGCUUCUUUUUCUCUCUCUGCCUCUCCUUCUCUCACUUUCAAAUAAAUAAAUAUAUCUUGAAAACAAAACAAAACAAAACACAGAGAGAGGUCUUCCAUUCGCUGGUUCAGUCCCCAAAUGGCCGCAAUGACUGGGGCUGGGCCAGGCCGAAGCCAGGAGCCAUGAACUUCAUCCGGGUAUCCCAUGUGGGUGAAGGGGUCUAAGCACUUGGGCUGUCCAUUGCUUUCCCAUGUGCAUAAUCGGGGAGCUGGAUUGGAAAUGGAGCAGGCAGGACUCCAACCAGCGCCCAUAUGGGAUUCUGGCACUGCAGGCCUGGGCUUUAACCUGCUGUGCCACAGUGCUGGCACUUCAGUUUCUUAAAGGAGAUACAGUGUCAGCGCAGUUCACUGGGUUUCUGGGGUCGUAUUCUGACUUACAUCUGGAAAACUAUUGGAGACAUUUUGUACUUGGUUCAGCUUUCUUUUGGCCAAUUUUAUAUCUCAUGAACUGAAACUACAAUAUCUGCACACCAAGUCCUGGUGUUCACGAGACAGGUGGCUCAUUCUUACCACCUUCCAGAGGAGCACCGUCCUGUUCUGUGAGGCCGCCCAGCUAGCUGGCUAAUAAGGUUGUUACCUAUUAUCAGAUGCUUUUUGGACCCCGAGAGGUGGCAAAGCCUUUUCUUAAGUGGCCAGGUAGUAAACAUCUCCCGUUUUGUCUUCUCUGUGGCCGACUCAGCCAUAGAUAAUCCAUAAACAGAUGAGCAGGACUGUGUGGUGCUGUGCUCCAGUAAAACUUUAUUUACAAAAACAGAUGUGGCCCAGAUGGGGCCUGUAUGUGGGGCUGGUAGUUUGCUGGCCCCUGAGCGGGAAUACACUGUUGAGGAUUGGUGCAUUGCUUUUCUCUUCACUGUGGCUUGCUGCCUCUCAGAGUGGAGUGUGGUGUGCUGUUAGAGGGGAGUUGCUUUUCUUCUUCCCUGUUUUUUAAACUGGUGAGUGCUUACACAUCUGAACCUGUCCCUGUGCCUGUGCCUCUUACCUUUAACUGAACCUGUGCCUGUGCCUCUUACCUUUAACUAGACUUCCUCCUUUUGUUUUUGUAUAAUGCAUUAGUAGAUAGGUAGUCUUUACAAAAACUCAUUCUCACUAAUGAUCUUGCAGACUUUUAUAGGAUGCUUAGAAGCCAAGGGCAAUUAAGUUUGCUUCUUCAGCUUGUUUUCCUUUGGCAAUUAGCUUGUAUCUGUAGAGAAAAUACAAAAGGUUAAAUGUGCAUAAUAAAAUGCGUUAAAGUUCAUGUCCUGGUUUUCUUGUGUGUGUUAAAUGUUGCAAUAAAGUAUUCAGGGUAACAGAAAGGCCUUUUUUAUCAUUUGGUAAAAAUUAGAUCUUUUCCAUUUAAUUCAGUAUUUAGCAGAUAAGUAUUGAUAUGGGUAAAUAGUUCAGCAUUUUGUUCAGAUGUAAAAAAAAAAAAAUGCAAUACCCAUAUAGGCAAGUAGGCAAAGAAACCUGCCCAAAGAAAAAUUGGUCUUCAAGUUAAAGGUGACUUGACUAACAUAACCAGCAGCUUUUUGGUAAGAUGCUUUUGCUUGAAGGACUUCCUGGGAAGUAAGUGCAUUGGCUCCAUUGCAGACCUUUCUUCACUGAAAGAGUGAUUCUCAUAAAUCAUAUGUGUGUCAAGGGACCGUGUAUGACUGUCACCUAUGACAGUAACAUGCAAACCACUUUUAAGAAACAUUGCUCCUAAUUGACAGAUUGUAUCUGAAUCCAGUGUCAGUGUUUCAGGUUGGAUUUGAGAUCAGGGUUGGAGGGUUUGUGUUAGAACCUGACCUACUGUGCUAUGUAUUCCUUGUUCCAGUUCAAUUGCCGCUUUGCUGGUUCGGUCAGUAUCAGAGUUGCUUGGGGUUUCUGCCCUCGGCCUCUGUGCACAGAUGCUUUGUUACUGCUGUGAAAGGAGCCUGCCUUACUGCAGCCGUUAAAUCUGACGGGCUGAGUAUAGCGUUUUUGAUUGGACCUUUCUACUCAGUGUUUGCAUUUUUGUUAUUUGUUGUGAGCACACACCUAUGAUCAUUUAUAUAGUGUUUUACAUGUGAUCAUGAUGAGCUAGUUCCACCUGCUUGAGUGGCAGAUUGUCCUUGUGGAACGAGGGCCUCACUGGCUUCUGUUUCCAGUUCUGUGCUUGCUAGCUCUGUUACCCAAGUCAAACCACAUCUUUGAGAAUGUCAGUUUCCAUGGGUGUCGAACCUGGGUGACAGCCAUCCUGCUGACUUCAUAGCAUUAUUCUCUUGUGUCAGUGAAAGGUGGUGAUGCGGUGCCUUCUCACUAGGAUUGGUUGUAUACAACAAAACCCCAGAUCAUAGUGGUUUAGGGUAGAAGUCUGCGUCCUCAUUUUUUAACUGAAAUUGUUUGUUUAAGGCACACAGUGUGGUAUUUUCAUACACACACACACACACACCGUGAACUGAUUCUUACAAUCAAGCUAAUUAACACUGUAUUCUCAUCUAAAAUGAAGUGUUCCCCAGGGGGUGGCAUGCAGGCCAGUAGUGUGGCCCUCAUCCUCAGGUAUCCAGUCUCCUGUUGGCUCCCACCUCCUCAUUCCUCCUCCAGGUAAACAGAUGAACUUGCGGAUGGCUGCAACAGCUGAGCCCUCAGGUCUUUGCCCAAGGCCAGUUGUGUUCAGAUUGGGCUCCUGGCCUGAGUUCUUUAUUUCCACCUCGCCCUGAGAUAAGUAUAAAACUGAGAGUGGCUAUCCAGAAGCUUUUAUAGCCAUUUGACAUUGCUACAGCAUUUCUACGGAUUUUAUGAAAAUGUUGCUCUUCAGUGGGUUGAGGGACACUGGUCCUGCAGCAUAGCCAGGCAGCUGAAAGCAGAGACACACAGGUGUUGAUGUGGGCCCAUUCCAGAGCUCUUCCAGUAGUGCUGUAACCAUGUCUGGUUUCUGUGGGCUUCCCUGCCUUCAAGGGAGGCUGAGGAGUUGUUUUCGGCUAUACUCGAACAAUACAGGGAAAAUGGGGAGAACGGAAGUUAAGGGGGCCUCCAACAAUCUGUACCACAGCUGAAGAAAUCUGAAAGCAGUUGGCAGCGUCCAGCAUAGAAUCACAUCAGUUCCUGAGUAGUGGUAUCACCGGGGAUCAUAUCUAAUUCUGGGGGACCAGGAGAACUACCACGGAUCUCAGAAGGGAAAACACACCAAGCACACCAAAAGCAGAGUAGAGUUAUUGGAGAAAGAGUAUGUGGUUAUUGUUUGUAGAAAAGAACAUUUUCAACAGAUUUUAGAUAUAUUUAUAAUCUAAUGACUUAGAACUCAAUUUAUGAAUUGGAUUACAGUUCAUCCUUUUAAACUAACAUUGACUUUCCUCAUGCAAAUAUGUUUAAGUUUGAUUCUCCUAGGAUAGGAUGGUGGUGUUGAACUCUUUGCCAAGAUAUCUUUACGAGGACACCUUUUUAUUGGUUUGGAAAUGAUCUGAGCCUCUUGUAUGUUGAAAGUAAAUGAAUACAGGGCAGAAGUAGAAGGGAAGGUAUUUAAAGACAUGUUAUUAAGAAUGAAGUGGCUUGUGAUUUAGUUGAAUUUUGUCUGUGUUUCCCCAUCUUUAUGUCUUUGUCCAUGCUCAGUAAGAGAGGUGCUGUAAAAUGCCUUCACGAUGAAUUUACUGCUUCAGAUUGGCAUUGCAGUGUGUUUUCCUACUAUGGAAAUCAUUGCUUCCUUCCAGGAUGUUAAAGCAAAGUUUAUUAAACCCUCACUUUGUGUAGCAUUUGUUGUAGGAGCUUUAGAGGGAGGAAUUCAGAAACGAGUGACAGCUGCGUCUUUAAGAGAAGACCUUUGUUCUUACCCUCACCGUGCGCACAUGUCUGGAGGUGCCAGGUGUGAGCUCGGGCCUCUGAAGUAGCUGGGAAGCAGUGUGUGUGCGCCACAGGAGGUGUGCAGUGCAGGGAAGCCACCACGUGGUGGGACUGCCGGUUGGUAGGGGGGAGGAUUUGGUGUGAGUCUGGAGCUAGCUGAGACACAUGUGGGCAGUGGAAUUGAGAGGCCACUGAGUUCUGGGUGGAGAGACUGAUACCCCUCACUCUUGGUUUAGAAUGGCAUUUGUCCUCUGCGGUCCUCACCGUAUGGAAUCAUAUACAGUGAUUGCAUGUGGAGUGUGGCAAGGUGGCAGGGAAGGAGGUCUGGCAAUUGGCCUCUGUAGAUGUUGGGGUAUGAAUUUUCCUUGGAAAGCAUUAAUCGGCAUUUAAUUUUCCCCUUUAACCAGCAAAGAUUGUGCCAGUGGUCAUUUGCUACUAACAGAAGGUCAGUGGCUUCUGGAAGGGUCAAGACUUGUCCUGCUUUCAGACCAUUUUUUCUUAACCAUUUUGCUUGUAGACUGUGUCACUUCCGGUCAUUUUACCCCAGAAAAGCAUUUUCACACCACCAGGUUAUUCAGAGAGAAAAACGUGCCUUAUCUGCUGACGCAGGUAGCUUAGUCCAUGCUUUCUUGUUGCCCCUUGGAGGCUGGAACAAGUUGUGGUGGAUUUGAUGACAAUGCCCCCGACAUCUCUUGCCGCUCUCUCGUCAGGGUCACAGUGGGAAGAGGACUGCUGGCCAUCUUCCCGCUCCACAGACAUCUGGGAAGCCCACACUCAGUUGUUUGCAGCUGAAGGAGCUGCAUCACUUUUAGCACUCCACACACCAGCAGAAAAGUUGAGUCAGGACUGUUUGCAGACUCAUUGGUUGGCAGCUCUUUCUACUCAGCAGUUCUUCAACUGUUUCCAGAAAAAAAAAAAGCUGCCAGAGGAUUCUGGGUGAGCUCAGGAACGUGGCCCCCUCUGAGGGAACCAGCCUGGCCAAGGAAGCUGCAAGUACGGGAAGUCAAAUAACCUCGUAGCCAAGUGGAAGAAAGGCAGAAUGAUGACUAGAUUGUCCAGACUAGCAAACGACACUGUUCCUUCUGUACCUGGAAGCACUUCCUUUCUAAGUGUGAAUGAAGAUAAUAAAAAUUUCAAGUUCUGCCGGUGCCACAGCUCACUAGGCUAAUCCUCCGCCUUGCGGCGCUGGCACACCAGGUUCUGGUCCCGGUCGGGGCGCCGGAUUCUGUCCCGGUUGCCCCUCUUCCAGGCCAGCCCUCUGCUGUGGCCAGGGAGUGCAGUGGAGGAUGGCCCAAGUGCUUGGGCCCUGCACCCACAUGGGAGACCAGGAGAAGUACCUGGCUCCUGCCAUCUGAUCAGCGCGGUGCACCAGCCAAAGCGGCCAUUGGAGGGUGAACCAACGGCAAAAGGAAGACCUUUCUCUCUGUCUCUCUCUCUCACUAUCCACUCUGCCUGUCAAAAAAAAAAAAAAAAAAAUUUCAAGUUGUGCUUUUGGAAAGCUUACAUAGUUUAGUUUAUGAAUUUUUUUCCAGCACCAUAUAUCCCAGAAUAAAAAUACCAGAUCAUCUAGUUUGCCUAUGAUUAAAUGUUACCAGUAAGUUGGAAAGUGGUUUGCAUUUUUUUUUACUCUGUUUUUGGGUGUCUCUGGCCUUGGGCUUAAUUCUGUACGGUUUCAAAAAGUCUUUCAUGAGCUAAUUUACCUCCCCAAAUGGAAUUUAAACCUGUGGAGAAAACUUGUCUGGUAUUUUCUGUGGUCCUUACUACUGGUCAGUGUGGAGUUUGGAUUCUCUGUAUCUUGAUUUGAUGAGUUUGUUCUGUGUCUUGAGUGGCUGGCUCCACACCAUGAAGGUCUCAGUUCAAAAAAUGCCACCUUCUCCAGAGACCUUGCCUUUUCUUCUCUUUUCUACAGAUUUAUUUAUUUAUUUAUUAGAGAGAGAGAGAGAGAGAGAGGCCAGAUGGCCUCAGUAACCAAGGCUGAGCCAGGAGCUUCAUCCAGGUCUCCCACACUGCUUUCUCCAGGCCAUCAGUAGGGAGCUGGAAUGGAAGUGGAGCAGCCAGAACACAAUCCAGCACUCCUAUGGGAUGCCAGCAUUGCAGGUGGUGGCUUUACCUGGCUAUGCCAAAAUGUCAGCCCCAUCCAGGAGCCUUUUCUGACCGUCCUCCUCAGGCCUCGUCCCUUUUCCUUUUUGGUCUUUUUGGGAGAUUUGCCCAGUUCUGAAGUCUUUAUUGUUUUUAUGGCACCGGUCAUCUUGUUGUUUGUUUAUUGUUUUUGUUGGCUGGAUGCCUCCCAAAAGUGACAGUGGAAGAAGAGUCACCGCAAACCACUGACCUGAUCCAUCCCAAGUUGGGGGCAGUUGGAUUCCAAAGAAAGAAGCACUAAUUGCCAGGGUGAGCAGUCCAAAGCUUUUUAUUAAGGAGCUCAAGCAGAGAAGGCUGUCUGGUUCUCCAGUGGGUGCCGAGACAAGGGUGCUCUACCUCGGUAUGUCCUGAAAGGGAGUUGUCGAGUUACGGAGUUUGAGCUUUACGGAAUGUGGUUCAGGCUUGGGGGUAGUUUCUGUGUGUUCAGCCUCAUGUUUGAUCUCUCAGUGUUUUAAGCUACAACCUCAGCCACUUUAUCAGUGCCAGGGAUGUUCAAGGCGCUGGCUGGCUGGAUCACAGAGCUGUCGGAUAUUUUGUGAUUCUUGAUGAGAGCAAGGAACGAAUGGGGAACUGGGAUCCUGAUUUUGUUUGCAUUUCCUGUAAACACUCAUUGAGAGCUCAGCCUCAUCUGUCUAAACUCAGUGGCUGUUAUAGGACCUGGAACUUAGAUAUUCAGUACACAAGUGUUGAAUGAAAGGAAAUGUGUAUCAGUAUUUGCAAUUUAACAGAUUGUGUCUGGGUCAGUGGUUUCGUACGUCAUGUUGUGAGGGGUUCCAUUUUAGGGAUUAGUGUGGAGGUGGUCAAAGGGGAGUUUGGUGAGAAGAUCUCUGGGCCUGUUUCUGUGUGGGACAUGAUUUAGUGGAUGAGGAAGUGAUCAGAAUUAAUUUAUAAAGAUCUUGUUUGGAAAAAGAUAAAUAUAUAAAUAGCCAGUUUCUGCCUUAUGGCAUCUGUACAUCUCAAACUCCUCUUUAACUGAUAUUCCUUAGUGCCUUUGUUUCAAGUUGUUGAUAGAGCAUGGCACAGGCUGUUGUCUUUAUCCUGGACCACAUGCUGUCAGCCUUCUGUGUCCGAGGAUCAACCAUCCAUAGAUUUGAGAGUAUUUGGGGAAAAAAAAUGUGUCUGUACUAAUAUGUACAGACCUUUCUCCCAGUUAUUCCAUAAACAACAUUGUCUACAACUCUUUACAAAGUUUUUACAUUGUAUUAGGUAUAAUAAGUAAUUUAAAGAUGAUUUAAAAUAUCAGAGAUGGUGUGGAUAGGUUAUAUAUGUGUGCAAGUCUUUACCCUCCAGGACAAAAACCCACAGAUAAUGGACAACAGUGUCCUCUUGGUUGCUUAGGAUUUGUCUGGAUUUUGGGUCAGGUAGUCACUCCUCAUAGACUCAGGUGUAGACCUUAGGUCAGGGUUACAUCAUACAAAGCAUGGCCACUCACAGAGACUGGACAAAUAACUUCUCUUAAGAAAGGGCCCAGUGAGAGUGAAUUUGGCUACUUACUUCUUCAGCCCAUGUGCCCUUUGCAACGUUUGAUGAAUUUAGAUAUGCUUCUGAAAACAGAAGCAGCAUGAAAAUAUUAGAUUAGAAUUUAAGUGACUUUUUCAGUGACUUAUUUAAAAUUUUUCCAGUGUUUUCACUGAUUUUCUUUUUAAGAUUUUACUUAUUUAUUUGAGAGGUAGAGUUACAGACAGUGAGAGGGAGAGACAGAAAGGUCUUCCCUCCUUUUGUGGGUUCACUCCCCACGUGGCUGCCAUGGCUGGAGCUAUGCCUAUCCGAAGCCAGGAGCCAGGUGUUUCUUCCUGGUCUCCCAUGUGGGGGCCGGGACCCAAGCUCUUGGGCCAUCUUCUACUGCUUUCCCAGGCCACAGCAGAGAGCUGCAUUGGGAGAAGAGCAGCUGGGACUCGAACUUGGGGUGCUGGCGCCGCAGGCGGAGGAAUAACCCAACUGCCCAUGGCACCGGCCCUCAUUGAUCUUUUAAAAUGUUUUUAUUUAAAAAAAAAAAAUUUUUUUUUUUAACAGGCAGAGUGGACAGUGAGAGAGAGAGACAGAGAGAAAGGUCUUCCUUUUCCGUUGGUUCACCCCACAAUGGUCACUGUGGCCGGCAUGCUGCUGCCCGCACACCGCGCUGAUCCGAAGGCAGGAGCCAGGUGCUUCUCCUGGUCUCCCAUGCGGGUGCAGGGCCCAAGCACUUGGGCCAUCCUCCACUGCACUCCCGGGCCACAGCAGAGAGCUGGCCUGGAAGAGGAGCAACCGGGACAUAAUCUGGCACCCCGACCGGGACUAGAACCCAGGGUGCUGGCGCCGCAGGCAGAGGAUUAGCCUAGUGAGCCACGGCGCCCACUCCAGAGUGGGGAUUGUAGAAUCGUGAGUGGUUUCUCCAGGAAGGGCGUGGGGAAGGGUACCUGAAAGUCAGAGCUCAAAGGAUGGGAUGAAUUUUGGCUGAAGAACAGAAAAUGUUUUCAGAGACUGGAAGCAGAUUCGGGUGUUGUUUUGUGAAUAUUGGACAUCUGCCUUGGUUUGGUGAAGGAAGUGAUUGGCGCUAGAAUGGGAAAAGUGUGCCGAGUUCUGAAAACUGAGGAACUGGAUUUGUGUCGGGUGUGAGUGCCUGGUGACUUCUUAGUAGCUGAAUGCGUGUGCAGAGCUGUGCUUUGAGAAGAUUAGAGGUGGAAAGGACGAAUUAGGAAGCCACCAGAGUAGUUCGCAUGAACCUAGCUUUUAUACUUCAACAUUGAUGCUGUGUUCUAGUUUCUUGGGCUUUAUUCCUAAUCCAAGGAUUUUAUUCUGAAGAAGCCAUUCAUUCAUUUUCUAGAAUCCUGAGACAUUCCAGCUGCGUAGUUAUAUCAUGUCUUUCUUUUCUUACAUGCACUUUUUUAAGGAUUUAUUUAUUUUAUUUGAAAGAGUUAUACAGAGAGAAAAGGAGAAGCAGAGAGAGAGAGAGAGAGGUCUUCCAUCCACUGGUUCACUCCCUAAUUGGCUGCAACGGCCAGAGCUGUGCCAAUCCGGAGCCAGGAGCCAGGAGCUUCCUUCGGGUGUGGUGUAGGGGCCCAAGGACUUGGGCCAUCUUCUACUGCUUUCCCAGGCCAUAGCAGAGAGCUGCAUCAUAUGUGGAGCAGGCGGGUCUUGAACUGGUGCCCAUAUGGGAUGCUGGCACUGCAGGCAGGGACUUUACCCGUUACACCAUGGUGUGCACGGCCCUGGUAGCACAGAUUUGGUACUAUCUUUAGUUUGUUUGGAAGUAGCACUGUACUCUGUGACUGGGUGUGGUCUUUGUUAGCCUUUUAUUGUGGGCUGGCCAUCUCCUUAUUCUUUAUUUCUAACAGUAACUACCCAUGAGGCUUUGCUUCAGUUCUUUUAUUUGUUCAUUUUGAUGGGAUUUUAACUUUUCUGAACCUGUAGAAGAUGCAGCGCAGAGCAGCCUUUUGUUGCUUUCAUCUAGUGUUGAAAGCUGCAGCAGCUGGCUGCCCGUGAUCCCCCCCUUCCCUCCCUCACUUUCAGUUGGAUCUUUUUAUUUUGCUGAAUUUAUACCCUACCACCUGUAGUUUCUCCUCUGCUGUUUGUGCUAGAAAUAGUUGUGGUGGGCCAGGUUUUGGAGUAAACGCGUAGGCUUACCUGCUGUCCGUCUGGGCAAAGCCUGCAGGCCCCACUGCCCUGGUCACCUUGGCCGCUUGGCCUGGUAGGUGCACGGGGAUCCUCCUGGUCCCCUGUCUCUGCAGAUGGCAGAACCACCAGUCUUAGCAGCUCUUGCAGUUUACCCCUUCCCGCCUGCUUGUUUCCAGGCUGCGGGGCUGCCUUUUUUAAUUUGCUUGUGUAGUCAGUGGGAGUUUGCUUUGACUCCCUGGUUGACCUGUUUUUACACUUGGUACUCCUGCUGUGUUAGCUGUUAUUGAAAUGACCUUUCACUGAGCCCCAGCACCACCGGCACUAACACUAACAUGGUGACCUGCUUUCCUGGCCACCAGUGUCCCGUGUAAACCACAAGGGGGGUGCGGGGAUGGGCACAGAGGACCCUGCCAGACAAAAGAGAUACUCUGUUACCUGCUCAGUCUUUCCUCCAUUGAAAUUUCCCUACACACUGGUCCCACCCAUGUCAGAAAGAGUCAUAAAUGCUUCAUGUUUUUCUAAAGUUUUUUGGGUUAGAUUCAGGCUCAUACAAGAAGAUUAUCUGAUCCUGUUGGCUUAAUUUGAUAUCUAGCUUGGCCUGUGAAAUUUAGUCACUGGGCCAGUGUUGUGUCAUAGAGGGUAGAGCUGCUACCUGCGGUGCUGACAUCCCAUGUGGGCACCGGUUCAAGCCUUGGCUGCUCUACUUUUGAUCCAGCUCUCUGCUAAAGGCCUGGGAAAAGCAGAUGGCCCAAGUGUUUGGGCCCCUGCCACCCAUAUGGGAGACCCAAAUGAAGUUUCUGGCUGCUGGCUUUGGCCUGGCUCAGCCCUGGCCAUUGUGGCCAUCUGGGGAGUGAACCAAUGGAUGGGAGAUGGAUAUCUCUCUUUCUCUCUCUCUGUCUUCCUUUCUCUCUAUCCAAAUAGAUGAAUAAAUAAAUAUAUUUUCAAAAAAGGAAGUGAAAAGAACAACCCACAAAACGAGAGAGAAUAUUUGCAAAUCAUGUAUGUGAUAAGGGACUUAGACUUAAGAAAAAAGAAAGAAAUUAAUUUUAUCAUUGAUGGUGAGAGGCUCAUUCCAUGUCACUAUGAUGGUUUCUGUGUGUGUUUCAAGUUCUGAGUUUUCCCUAUUGAUCAGAGUGUAUCCCUUAAAAGGUAGCUUAAAAUAUAUUAACUUUUCUAGAAAAUAUAAUAUUGUACCAAAGGAGCAGCUGUGUUGGUGGGUGCUUUUGGAAAUUUGAGAGAGUAUAUUUUAUAUUAUUGUUAUAUACAAUAUAUGCAGUAUAUCUUUUAGCAACUGUAGUCAAAAUUUUACAUUUUGCAAACAUAAUCAUCAGCCAUUACCAAUAUCACAAUUGUUUCAAUGAAUACAUAUUAAAUAGAUGUGUAUUUAUGAAAUGUUGUGGCAUAAUCCAAAUGGGAAAACAAUCACAAAUACAUAUUUGGAUCAAUAUUACUAUUUAUUUUAUGGAAAUAUAAACUUUUAAUCAUAAAAAUGCUUUCCCAUAUUGGUAAUAUCAUAAAAAAUAAGGUUAAAAUGCCAGUACUCUGUGGACUAGGAUGAACCCUUUAUUUCUUCAAUGAAAAAUUAAAUGAAUUCUUAUGUGUAUUAUCAAGUUAUUUUUAAUAGGAAAAUGGAAGGUUUUUUUUAAACAAAUAGACUGGAACAACUAGAUAUCCAUGUGAAAAAAAAAAAACAACCGCAGAAUACCUCCUCCUAUAUAAAAUUAAUGAAAAGUGAUCAUUGAUCCUGAUAUAAACUAAAAAUUAUAAAGCUUCUAGAUGAACACCACAGCGUAUUGUUACGACCUUGUGGAGGCGGUGCCAUCACAGAGAGCAGAUAGAAAUACUAACCAUGGGGUGGGCAGUGCCAUCACAGAGAGCAGAUAGAAGGUACUAACCAUGGGGGUGGGCAGUGCCAUCACAGAGAGCAGAUAGAAGUACUAACCAUGGGGUAGGCAGUGCCGUCACAGAGAGCUGAUAGAAGUACUAACCAUGGGGUGGGCAGUGUCGUCACAGAGAACAGAUAGAAGUACUAACCAUGGGGGUGGGCAGUGCCGUCACAGAGAGCAGAUAGAAGGUACCAACCACGGGGUGGGCACUGGGCCUGCCGUGACGACGUGGAUCGGGAUGUAUGCAUUCCAUGCGGAGGACCGUGGGUUGCAGUCCUGCAUGUGAAUGGCAGAUAGGCCCAUGAGCAAGUGUUGAGUCAUCAGGAAAGUGAGAUGUCACCCAGAGCUACCACAGUGACUACAUGGAAAAGACCGAUAAUACUGAAUAUUGGCAUCCAAGGAAUUCUAAUAUAUUGUUGAUAGGAAUAAAAAUGGUAAAUAACUCAGCUUGACAGUUUUUUAAAAAUACCUGAGGGUGCUUCAAAAAGUUUGUGGAAAUAUAAUUAAAAGAUGAGAUUCCUUUGAUGCAAAAAAAAUUGAAAUCCAUGAAUACGAGGGGUAUUCGAACAGUCCAUAGAGAAUGCAUAUUAUGAAAAACGUGUACAAGGCUCUCAAAAAGUUUUUACAACAAAAUAAAGUCCUUAAUUUUUUUUUUUUUUGACAGCCAAAGUAGAUAGUGAGAGAGAGAGACAAAGAGAAAGGUCUUCCUUUUGCCGUUGGUUCACCCUACAAUGGCCGCCACGGCUGGUGCGCUGUGGCCGGUGCACUGUGUUGAUCCGAAGGCAGGAGCCAGGUGCUUCUCCUGGUCUCCCAUGGGGUGCAGGGCCCAAGCACUUGGGCCAUCCUCCACUGCACUCCCGGGCCACAGCAGAGAGCUGGCCUGGAAGAGGAGCAACCGGGACAGAAUCCGGCACCCCGACCGGGACUAGAACCCGGUGUGCUGGUGCUGCUAGGUGGAGGGUUAGCCUAUUGAGCCGCGGUGCCGGCUCUUAAUUUCAUUUUUAUAAAUUUUUGAGUAUUCUAGAUAAUAUGUUUCCCUAUGCUAAUUGGGAGGACUUUAUUCUUAUGGAGCUCGCUCAGUCCAUGCGUAAUGACCAGUUUCUGAGAACUGCUUUGUGGAAGAGCAUCUCAGAAAGAUGCACUUUGUUUUAUCAAAUGCUACGAGUUAGGAACUAUUCUGUAUCUCACUGCUACAUGCAGCCAGGUUUUUGUAAAAACAACUGAUUUCUGUGUAAGUGGCUUUCACCUGAUGAGAAUUGAAUAAAACAUAAGUUUUAUGAACCUCAUUAAAGUAUGAUGCUUCAUAUAUUCUUAUUUUAAUAAAUUUAACUUUCUUACCUAAGAAUAUCAUCUUUGGACUAAGUUAAAUAUAAUAGGCUUGUUUAUAACACUUUCUCUUGCCUUUGUCAUAUAAUAUGAAUAUAGUCACUACUGAAUUUUUGCACAAUAGCUGAAUCUCUGUGUUAAACAGAGAUUUAUACUUAAUACACACAAAUGGAAAAUCUAAAAUCCUUUUUGUUUUUAAAGAAACUGUAAACUGCUUUAUUUCAAAUUAGCUUUGUUGUAGCUUAGCAUGUAUUUAAUUAGUUGCUUAGCAGGUAAUUUGCCCUUAGCAUUGACUUAACUCCAGGGUUUGGACCUUAUUGAUAUAAUUGUGCUAAAGAAUUUUUCUUCUUAUUCACAUGCUGUAAAAACUGGGUGAAGGGGGAGAAGCUGGCAUUCAUAUGUUGGAGCAUCAUAGUCUUCAGUGGGUUAGCACCAGGUAAAGGGUUUUAAAUUUUGACUUAUAAAUUGUCCUUUUAGACUAGGGGACUUAACUGUUUUGUUAAGUGGCACAACUAUUUUUAAUUGCCAUUCGUUAAUUCACUUAUUCAUUCCUUAUUUAAAUGUCAACUAUGAGCAAGGCAUUGUUUUAGCUCCUGGGAUUAGUGGGCACAGAACUGAUGACACUGCCUUUGUCAGUUCAUUUUCUUGGGUGCUGGUAGGAAUAUGAUGGUAAAUAAACAAGUGAUGCAUUGUGGCUGGUGUUGCUAAGUAUAGUGAUUCUUAAAUUGGGAGCCUGCGACCAUUCAGGCAUUUUCUGCAGUAGUCUGUAUGGCAUACACAUUCUGGAGAGAGAGACUCUUAGGAAAGGUUGAGAACCGUUGUCCUAGAGUCUGAUUGGAGUAUAGUUACCAGGUAUUGAUUUCUAUAUAAAUGCAGAGUAGCAGGAGCCUGUGUCAAUUCCCUAGGCAGUUGAUUUCACCGUCUCCUCUUCCCUGUGAUCUGAUUGCAUUUUCUUGGGCAUUGUUUCAUUUAUGUCCCAAUAAUUAUUUAUUGACAAUUAGAACUCGGCCAGUUUCUCUCGUUAGCCUUCCUGAUAUAACAUUGAUGGUGGAGCUAGAAGAUUAUGCCCUACAAUUCUCUUUAUCGUUAUUUCUACCCUCAAGUUACAGAAUAGGGUAAUAUUAUUAACAGGUAAGUGGUUGUAGUAUUAUGUGUUGAUUGCCAAGCAUCAGCGGUUGAAGUUUUCUUUUGACUGUAAAAACUUUUCUGGAUAUAGAGGAUUAGGGGAGUUAUCUUGAUGCUUGUUUUGAAGAUCAUCAUUUGGAGCUAGUAGGCAGAGAGCUCUGAUGUGUAUUUCUGCAAAUCUGUUGAGUUUGGCUUACACUGAUCUUGUAAUUACACGUGAAUAGCACAUGGACAGAGAUGCAGGACUGUGUGCUUGAUGGCCCUUGUAACUCCCAGGGCUCGAGCAGGAACCUCAAGACAGGUUUCUUUGUUCUGAAACUGAGAAAUGAAUAGAUCUUCCGGACAGGAUCACUCCCUUAUUUUGGGGGGGGGGGUCACUUGUCAACAGCACGGACUCCUUAGGUACUAAUAUAACUUUACUUUUCUGUUAGUAGGCUGACAAAAGCUUUCUUUUUAUGUGUAUUUAUUUUUCAUAUAAAGGAUCUUUUACUAAUUUGUAUUUUAACACAAGGGGCAGAUGUCUCCAGCUCUGAGCUGGGCUUUGCAGCAUGUCCUGCCUUUUGAAUGUUUCUUUCAACUUGGGCAGCUCUCUUUGUUAAAGGCCAGACCCCUUAGAGGGAUGUUCUGGGAACGAGGACCCCUUGAUAUUUGAAAGGUGGGAAAUCCAUUUAAAACAUGUGAUGGCUUCCAGCAGCCCUACUGCUGGGUUCUGCUUGUUUUAAUGUAAGUGAUAGAUGUUCUUGCUGGUUGUGUUCAGUAAUUGGAUGUGAACUAUAUAAUAAAGUAACAUUUCAUGGCAGAUGUGAGUGUACUGUGGAUGGCACUUGAUUUCUGUGGUGCCUGCCUUUAGGUUUUAAAGGCAGAAACCAUAAUGGAAUUUAAUUACUAGAGCAUAUAUCCAAAGAUUAGCUCACUACAUUUGUAAUGCCCUUAGUAGUUAGGUACCUGGUGACUGUGCCCGACGCUGUGUGUGAUUGAUAAUGCCAGUGUGUGCAGGGCAGCAGCAGAAAUGCUAAUGCGGCUGUGGAGGGGACUGCCAGCAGCACUUCGUCAGCAGUCUGCUGCCAGAGUGUCUUCUUGGAAAGACAUAAUCUGUAAUCAAAGAGGAGUUUGUGGGAAUAGCAAACACAGACAAAAAUGUUAUGAUAAGAGAUUGUGUUCAUUGCCUUCUUUCAGGGAGCUUUCAAUUACGCCUGAUUAAUGACUUCCUCCCUCCUUGCUUCGGUGUGGGCCUGGCCUCCUUGGCGUAUCACGGGAUGAGGAGGAUCUGUAAUGCUGUGUUUUGGUCUCAGAAGGCUUGUUUCAUAAGAUAGCACGGAGCAGAACAUUUUACAUUCACUAAGAGACGCUUGGUUUCAUAUUCACAGAAUUUGACUUUUUCCAUUCAGAAACGUGAUGCGCAUGUUGAGGAGAGCUGUAGUGUGAAAGGUCAUGGCAUGUAGAGGGGCAGGGAGGGUGUGGGUCCCUCCUGAAGGCAGUUGGGAGCAUGUUAGCUGUUUUGGAAGUUUUAAGUGUAAGAGAAUGUACACCAGAGUGUUGGCACGGAUGGCUGUGAUUACAUAGGCUCAUGCCUGCUCAGUUUUCUUCUCAAAAAGCUUGGCUGGUGUUGGUUCCAGCUCUGUUAGGUUCUGCCUGCCAUCCCCUGCAACGGGAACUCGGUAAAACAGAAUCGGCAGAAAUGCACUGGGGUUGAAAGAAAGGGGGCAGGGGAGGGACACAAGCAUUAAAUAACACAAACAUUAAAAUAAUAUUUUUGAAUAGAUACUAAGUUUGCAUGAUUUAAGAACUGAAGAAUGUGAAAAGGUACAGACAGCCAGCCUGUUAUCCCUGGGCUUAUAUACUUGAGUUCCCGUUUCAUCUAACCUCCCGCCACACAGCUAAUCAUUGUGAUUGCAUUCAUUUGUAUUCUCCACAAUGUCUCUGUGCACGUGCAAGUAAAUAAAAAAGCUAUCAAAUUAUGCACACUAUUCUGCAGUUUGUUGUUGAGAAUGUAUGUUGGAGGGGCUGGCGCUGUGGCGCAGCAGGUUAAUGCCCUGGCCUGAAGCACUGGCAUCCAAAUGGGCGCCUGUUUGAGACCUCGAUGCUCCACUUCCAAUCCAGCUCUUUGCUAUGGCCUGAGAAAGUGGUAGAAGGUAGCCCAAGUGCUUUGGCCCCUGCACCUGAGUGGGGGACCUGGAGGAAGCUCCUGGCUCCUGGCUUCAGGUUGGCACAGCUCCGGCUGUUGCACCCUAUUGGGGAGUGAACCAGAGGAUGGAAGACCUUUCUCUGCCUCUCCUUCUCUCUCUGUGUAACUCUUACUGUCAAAUAAAUAAAUAAAUCUUUUUAAAAACAAAAAAGGUGGCCGGCACACCAGGUUCUAGUCCCGGUCGGGGCGCCAGAUUCUGUCCCGGUUGCUCCUCUUCCAGGCCAGCUCUCUGCUGUGGCCAGGGAGUACAGUGGAGGAUGGCCCAAGUGGGAGACCAGGAGAAGCACCUGGCUCCUGCCAUCGGAUCAGCGCGGUGUGCCGGCCGCGGCGGCCAUUGGAGGGUGAACCAAUGGCAAAGGAAGACCUUUCUCUCUGUCUCUCUCUCUCUCACUGUCCACUCUCUCAAUAAAGAAUUAAAAAAAAAAAAAAAAGGUAUUAGGACACAAUAACAACAGUUUUCCAGUCAUCUGAAAAUUUAGGUAUGGCACCAAACAUUCAGAGUAAUUUACAUAAUCUGAAUAGAAAAGUUUGUGUGUCUUAGACAGACUUGCACAGACAUGGAUGGGAAAAUUGAAUGUGUUUAACAUCCAUGAUUGCAACAGUGGGAAACUGGAAAUGACCCAAAUAUCUUAUCAGUAGAAAAAUUUAUGAACAAGUUAUGGUGUGUGUAUGUGGAAGAUGCACGUCAUUUAAAAUGAGCAGAACUGGGCUGGAAUGAGUCAUGUCAGCCAAAUGCUGAAUGAUCAGAGCAGGUUAUUGAAGAACUUGAAGGGUAUGGUGUUACUUGUGGGAGCCAUAAAAGCAGAGAAGACAAUAACCUACGUAUUUUUAGCUCCUGUUGAUCGCUCCUGUGCAGUCCCUCACACUUGGGGUCACUAACCCAGGGUGUUCGACAGUGAGUUCAAGGUAGAGGUCAUGUCUGGGGAGCAGAACGGCCUGCCCAGCAGAGGGGCACGGGCUGCUGCGUGGGUUCUUGAGUGCUUUAUGGCUGUAGGUAUGUUUGGAUCAUGGUUACGUGUGUGUUUAUACCUUUCUGCAGGUCAGGUGUUUCAUAACAAAAAUUUAAAAACAUAGAGAGGGUAGGAGGAUCCUUAGGGAGUUCUCAUGGACAGGCUUAGCCUUAGCUGAGAGAGUGAGCAAGACAUGCACACUGGAGUUUUCUUUGAUUCUGUAGAUGGUGACCGUGAUGUGUGGAUUUACCAUCGUUUCGGCCCUUUUCUGCCUAUAUAUGUGGCAGCCGAGUAAGAACAUAAUUUUUGCUGCCAUUGUCCAGUGCUUUGGGGUCGACCAUUAAUUUUAAGGUAAAUAAUAUCAGAGGAAUUAAAUAACAGCGUAAAUAAACGUUGCUUGUCUGGGGCUGUAUACUGAGUGGCAGAUUUCACUCCUGAUGAUUUUUUGGAAGCACAUCUGACAUUUUUGGGCUGGGAUGGCAGUGGGUGGUUUGGGAAGCCUGGCAAAGGGCUUCCCCGUGGAAUAGCAGGCUGGGGCGUUGUUCCGUUUCCCCCUUGUGAACCCUCCAUCACCAUCUCCAGGACAGUAUCUGCUGUCUAGCAGAUGCUUGGUAAAUACCGGUUGGGUGAUUUUAAAAUUAGCUUGAAAUAUUUUUUUAUCUUCUGUACUGUUAUCACUGUAGUUUUUAUCUAUAUUCUGGGAAUUUCAGGAGACCAUCUAUGUCUCAGACCAGGAGUUUUAUCUAAUAAAUUAUUUGAAUUUUAAAGAGUUGGAUGCUUGUUUGUAGUGGUCUCUAGCCGUGGAUCAGAGAAGUGUCACAGCCUACUCAAAGUUGCUUGUCUCCGCGUUAACUUCUCUGUGCGCUAAGUGAGGAAGGAAUACAGAUCAGAAGUUUUUUCUGGGAGUCUCUGGUACACUGGCCUUUUCAGCAUAGCAGGUGUCGGUUCUGAAAGCUCAUCUCUGUGGUAAUGGAAGGAGCCCAUCUCGAUUGCUGCGGUAGUUACACAGCUGAAUACAUUUGUGGAGACUAAUUGAGACUGUAAAUACGUUAAUUGUGCAUAAAUUAUAUCAAUAAUUUUUGAAAAUCCGCCAAAACAAGAAACAAAAUUCAGAAGUUAAUUUAUUAUUGAAACUGGAUAGAGUGUAAAAGAUCUUAAAAAGAUCCAACAUUUACAUAUAUAUGUAUGUAGUCGAUGUUGUCUUGGUGCUUGGACGUGAGGGUCCUUUUGGCAAAGAUUAUCCCGUUGUAAAUAAACUGGGGCUCUGGGCCUGUGCCCUUGGCCUUUCUUUCUUCUAAAGCAGUGUUUUCUCAGCUCAGUGUGUAGCUCACUGAAUACACUGAGCUGGGAUUAACGGAGCCUCUCACUUCCUGCUUUCCCUUUCUCUCCUUCAGCCAGGCGUGGGCCUUUGUUGUCUGGCCUGUGCACUGAGAUAAGCUAUCAGGGCAUGUUUGUGUUAGAAAAAUGGUUGUAGACAGAGCAGUUAUAAAUAGACCAACAGGUAUUAAUGGUUCCCGUCUUCCGUUUAAGUCGAAAAGAGAGAGGAAAAAAUAAGAUAUUGAAGACAAGAAGGCUGACUUACAUAAAUUAGGAAAAAAAUGUAAUUUUUCAUUGUUCCUACUGGUUUUUCCUUUUCUUACUCAACCAUUUGAAUUUGUUUAUUGGCAAGUUGAGAAUAUUUGCUAACUAUAGUUGGAUUCCUGUUAUUAUGCAGGCUGAUUUUAUUUAAAUUAAUAAUUUCUAAACCUGCAUUUCUGGUGGCCCCUUAAACUACAUGUACCUGUGCUGCUAAAUUCAUUUUGUUUUAUUGUGUUAUCAGCUGUAUACAAUUACAGGUUGGUUCAGAAAGCAGUAGUACAAAAAGCUUACCACCUGGAGAGGGAGGAAUGUUGCUACAUUCACAUAAAAUAGCUAUGAUCAUUGUUCUAAAAGGGCAUGAUCCAGUAUUGUGAAUUAAUAUUUUUUGUCUUAGUUGAUUUUGUUUAAUAUUGUCAGUUUUCUCAGCUAGGAAACAGCUUCAUUUUCAAAAAGGCUAAUGAGUUUCCCAGAAUUGUAGAUUGCUAAAUAAAGUUACCUAGGGCACUCAUUUCCAACUGCUAUUAUUGGUUCACCACUGUCUUAGAGUAUAUGCCUUCUUCUGAAUGCAGACAAGUGAUUGAUACUUGUUUGAAUGAAACUUUAAAUAUUACUUGAUAUAUUCUGGCCGGUGCUGUGUUUUGGUGGGUAAAGCCAAUGCCUGCAGUGCUGACAUCCCAUAUGGGUGCUAGUUCAAGUCUUGGCUGUUCCACUUCCAAUCCAGCUGCCUGCUAAUGUGCCUGGGAAAGUAGUAGAUGAUGGCUCAAGUACUUGGACCCCAACACCAACAUGAGAGACCCAGAAGAAGCUCCUGGCUCCUAACUUCAGCCUGGCCCAGCCCUGGCCAUUGCAGUCUUUUGUGAGGUAUUCCAGUGGAUAGAAAGUCUCUCUCUCUCUCUCUCUCUCUCUCUCUCUCUCUCUGUCUUUCAAAUCUUUAAAACAAUAUUUCUUGAGACCGGCGCUGCGGCUCACUUGGCUAGUCUUCUGCCUGUGGUGCUGGUACCCUGGGUUCUAGUCCUGGUUGGGGCGCAAAAGUACCUUAAAUUGGAAACCACAGCUGCAUUUUUUUUUUCCUUUUUCUUGCUUGACUUGGUGCUCACUACUGAAAUGUCUUAUUGUAUAAAUAAAAAUAAAAUCUCCUGCUUUUUGUUGGUGUCUCACAUCUGAAUGAAUUUGCGCUUUACGGCUCUCAGUCAUGGUUCUGUUCAAGCAGCAGGCUAAAUCAUUUUAACAACUGGAGCCAGAAAGGAGCCAGCUGUGCAGCCUGUGCACUUCAUCCCGACCUGGGACUGUUCUUAAGUGUGGUCCAGGGGCCUGCAGGGUCGGCCUGGCUGUUCUCAUCAUGAUGCCCAGACAGCAUCUGCCCUUUCCCUCUCAUUCUCUGAUACGUGGACAGUGCUCCUGCACAAGGUGAACCAGGUGUGCUGGCUCCACGGGUGGAAGGCACAAGCAAAAAGGAGAGUCUGUUUCUUACGUUAGGUGGUAAGAGAUUUGCAAACAUAAAAUGAUCACUUGUCUCCCAAGUUUAGCUUUAAACAUUAGAAUUUAUUUUAACAUGGGCAUGUAGCGGGUUUAUUACUGUUAUUCUUAAAUGAACUCAUAAACAAAUCUUUACAGUUUUUCUUAUUUUCUAAUAUAGAAAAUGAUGGUAAGAUACAGCUCACCUAAACAAAAGUGCUUUUGGCUCCUCAGUAAUUUUCAGUAAUCCAAGGAAGUCUGCAGUUAAGAGGUUUGAGAACCCUUGUGAAAAGUGUGCUGACAUAAUGAAACCUUUCAAGAUAUUUCAGCAUUUUCAAUAGGAAAUAUAUUGGUAAUAUAGCAUUGAUCAUGUUACCUUAAAGUCAGCUUGUGAAGUGUCUAGAGAAAUUUGGGAGUCUGUUUGCUGACUUCCCCUUCUUUAUUUUCCUGCUCACUUCAGCCCCUGUCCCCACCGCUGGUGUUCCAAGGUUCUCUAACUUCAGCAGAUGUUCUGUGUAAGAGGUAGUAACUCCCUCAAAAUGUGCAACAUUGCCUCUGCUGCUGUUCUUAUCACCAGGCAACAACAGAAAUGUUACAAAGAUGUCAAACGUUAGGAUAUUUGGGCUCUGUUUUUUAAAGAGUGAAAUACAAUGGAAUGUUUGAGUUUUAUUGAGGAUUAAGAGACAUUUUGCAAUUUCUUAGCUGUGCAGUCUACAAACAGCUGUCUUCUCAUCCUCUGUGGGGGAAAUCCUUUGGAUCAAGUAGAUUUGUGGGUGUGUUUAUUUGAUAUAACCACAGCUGCUUGAAAGAAUGCUGGUGUUUAGGAAGGGAUUCAUUUUGGGUCUUUUCAGCAGGUUUCAGAAUUGUAAAGCACGCUAUCUUUGAAAUUUCUUCUUGAUAAAAUGAUUCAAACAUUAACUUGGAGGCCUUUGAAAGCCUGAAUUUGAUGUUCAGCAUUUUUAUCAGUGUAUUAGUUAAGGUUCUUCAGAGAGACAGAACCAAUAGCAGGUGUAUAUGGAGCACUUCAAAAAGUUUAUGGAAAAUGGAAUAAAAAAUAAGCAAAAAAGGUACAAAAAAUGUGAAAUCCAUGCACGCGGUGUGUGUGGGGGGGUAUCUUUAAAAAGUUCAUGCAAAACACAUAUUAGGAAAAACUGUACGAAUUACAACAUUUUUGUGCCAAAAUAAACUCUGUAUGUCCCAUGAACUUUUUGCAAUAUGCUUCUCACAUGUAUGUACACACAGCUACUUGCAAGGGAACUGGCACACUUGAUUAAGGAGACUUAGCAGUCCCUUCCUUGGCUGUCUACAGGCUGGAGAACCAGGGACCAGAGAAGCAGAUGGUGUCCCUCUCAGUCCACUGCAUGCAGGAGGCUGGAGGCCUGCAGUUGUGUCCAGCUAGGUGUAGAGAGAGCUAAUUCACCUUUUGUCUGCUCCUUUGUUCUGCCUGGGCUCCCACAGCGCCUGGCCACACUGGCAGCUUGGCCUUGCCCUCACCACCUACUCCCCUGGAACCAAACUCCCCCUCCUCCCCCUACACAGAUAGGAGCACUGCCCUAGCAGUAACCAUCCCGGUGGAGGUGAUGUGCAUGUGGACUGAUGUGAGCAGUUACAGAACUGGUCUUGAUUUCAGGACGUCUGUUUCCCUGUGCAGCAUCCUCCCUUACAUAGUGCCUAAUCGAUCUGGGUGCAACAUAGACAGUAGAAGUUCCCUCGUAGGUUACAGGGGAGGCCAAGAAGUAGAAAUUUUUUGCCACAACUACAGCAGUACUUAGUUUUGGUCACUUCACUGAAAACAAAACAAAGCAAAGCAAAGAACAAAAAAUCUGCAUGAAAACAAGAAUUAGUUGUCUGAAAACUUUAGUGUUCAUCUGCAAUGUAACCCACAAAGAAAAUGCCUUAAUGAGUUUUGAUUGCUUAGUUAGUGGUUGAGAGAUGAUUUCGUUUUCAUGUAUGUUUGGGUCCUAUCAAAAUAUUGGUUUACUUUUGUCCACUUUAACUGUAAAAAUAAUUAAACAAAAGAUGAGGUUUUUUUUUUUUUUUAAACAAAGACAUCAAGAAACAGUGUUAUUGAAAUUAUUUCUGGUCAUCGAAGCCUUGGGUUUCAGUGCCUUAUGCAUUGCAUCAUACUUCUGGGGGAAUUUUAUGUAACCAGUCAUUUGUACAUCUUGGCUAAAAAUAUAAGAAAGUCACCUGUCCUCCUAGAGUUAAGUUUUAAUGCUUCAGCGUAUGAUCCAAUGUGAUUUAAAUCUUACACAGACCAGGUGCUGAUGUAAUCUUCUGGAAAGUCUGGCUUGAGUGUCACUCUCAGGUUUUGAAAAUGAACUUGUCGGCUGGCGCCGCGGCUCACUAGGCUAAUCCUCCGCUUGCGGCGCCGGCACCCCGGGUUCUAGUCCCAGUCAGGGCACCGGAUUCUGUCCCGGUUGCUCCUCUUCCAGGCCAGCUCUCUGCUGUGGUCCAGGAGGGCAGUGGAGGAUGGCCCAAGUGCUUGGGCCCUGCACCCACAUGGGAGACCAGGAGGAAGCACCUGGCUCCUGGCUUCGGAUCAGCACGGUGCGCCGGCUGUAGCGGCCAUUUUGGGGGUGAACCAACAGAAAAGGAAGACCUUUCUCUCUCUCUCUCUCUCUCUCACUGUCUGCCUGUCAAAAAAAAAAAAAAAAAAAGAAAAAGAAAAAGAAAAAGAAAA